rnacentral:rRNA from 1 species
AUUGAACGCUGGCGGCAUGCCUUACACAUGCAAGUCGAACGGUAGAAGGGGCAACCCUUUGAGAGUGGCGAACGGGUGAGUAAAGCAUCGGAACGUGCCCAGUAGUGGGGGAUAGCCCGGCGAAAGCCGGAUUAAUACCGCAUACGACCUACGGGUGAAAGCGGGGGACUCGCAAGAGCCUCGCGCUAUUGGAGCGGCCGAUGUCAGAUUAGGUAGUGGGUGGGGUAAAGGCCUACCAAGCCGACGAUCUGUAGCUGGUCUGAGAGGACGACCAGCCACACUGGGACUGAGACACGGCCCAGACUCCUACGGGAGGCAGCAGUGGGGAAUUUUGGACAAUGGACGAAAGUCUGAUCCAGCCAUGCCGCGUGCAGGAAGAAGGCCUUCGGGUUGUAAACUGCUUUUGUCAGGGAAGAAAUCUUCUGGGCUAAUACCCUGGGAGGAUGACGGUACCUGAAGAAUAAGCACCGGCUAACUACGUGCCAGCCGCCGCAGUAA